ACAAGCGGUGGAGCAUGUGGUUUAAGUUCGAAGCAACGCGAAGAACUACCAGGCUUGACAUCCCUUGAAGCAGCUAGAGAUAGCUGUGUCCUUCGGGACAAGGAGACAGGUGGUGCAUGGUUGUCGUCAGCUCGUGUCGUGAGAUGUUGGGUUAAGUCCCGCAACGAGCGCAACCCUUAUCCCUAGUUGCCAUCAGGUAAAGCUGGGAACUCUGGGGAGACUGCCGGUGAUAAACCGGAGGAAGGCGGGGAUGACGUCAAGUCCUCAUGGCCCUUACAUCCCGGGCUACACACGUGCUACAAUGGCAGGUACAGAGGGCUGCGAAGCCGCGAGGUGGAGCGAAUCCCAGAAAACCUGUCUCAGUCCGGAUUGAAGUCUGCAACUCGACUUCAUGAAGGCGGAAUCGCUAGUAACCGCGAAUCAGCAGGUCGCGGUGAAUACGUUCCCGGGCCUU
rnacentral:rRNA from 1 species